GACGAACGCUGGCGGCGUGCCUAAUACAUGCAAGUCGAACGCUUCUUUCCUCCCGAGUGCUUGCUCUCAAUUGGAACGAGGAGUGGCGGACGGGUGAGUAACACGUGGGUAACCUACCCAUCAGAGGGGGAUAACACUUGGAAACAGGUGCUAAUACCGCAUAACAGUUUAUGCCGCAUGGCAUAAGAGUGCAAGGCGCUUUCGGGUGUCGUUGAUGGAUGGACCCGCGGUGCAUUAGCUAGUUGGUGAGGUAACGGCUCACCAAGGCCACGAUGCAUAGCCGACCUGAGAGGGUGAUCGGCCACACUGGGACUGAGACACGGCCCAGACUCCUACGGGAGGCAGCAGUAGGGAAUCUUCGGCAAUGGACGAAAGUCUGACCGAGCAACGCCGCGUGAGUGAAGAAGGUUUUCGGAUCGUAAAACUCUGUUGUUAGAGAAGAACAAGGACGUUAGUAACUGAACGUCGCCUGACGGUAGCUAACCAGAAAGCCACGGCUAACUACGUG
rnacentral:rRNA from 1 species